UACGUAGGGGGCAAGCGUUGUCCGGAAUCAUUGGGCGUAAAGAGCGUGUAGGCGGCCAGCUAAGUCCGCUGUGAAAACUCGAGGCUCAACUUCGAGCUGUCGGUGGAAACUUUCUGGCUAGAGUCCGGAAGAGGAGAAUGGAAUUCCUGGUGUAGCGGUGAAAUGCGCAGAUAUCAGGAGGAACACCGGUGGCGAAGGCGGAUCUCUGGGCCGAUACUGACGCUGAGGAGCGAAAGCGUGGGGGGCGAACAGG
rnacentral:rRNA from 1 species